UUCGCAGAUUUAUCCUUUUUAUUUUUAUCAACUUUAAAUAUAUAUUGUAUCGAUAUAUUUUAUCAAUUUGAUAAGGAAAAAAAAGACAGUGGUGAUAUAACCAAAGUUAAGAGAGAAGAAAUCAAUCUUAACUUGUAAUCCAAAAAAAAAAACAAUCUUAACUAUAAUAGUAUUAUUUAUUGCUAGAAAUCAAUCUAACUAUAAUAGUAUUAUUUAUUGCUCAUUUGAUUACAAACAUCUUAACUAAAUAAAUAAAAAAUACAUGCACUGGAGACCAACAUCUUAGUGAAAGAGUUCAUUCUUACAUGUAUGGCUUUUUGGGUAUCUCUCUUAGGAAAAUUUCACAUAGCUCGUUAACACACUUAUAAUAGCUAUAUGUAAAUACAUUUGGACAAUCUUCAUCGACUUUACAUUUAAUCCAUCCUGCAAAGGCACCAUCAACCUCUUUUGUAACAAGAAACAUGGAAAGAAAUGAAAUUAUAACGUAAAUAAACUUGAGAUCGUUAGCCAUAUUUGUUUUCUUUGUUUUUGUAACAAAUAGGAUAUGACUUGUUCAAUUUAUAGUGUAAAAGGAUAAUGCAAUGCUAAAAACUUUUAAAUAUAUUUAACAUUUAAGUAAAUUAAAGUGUUGUAUUUGCUCCUUUUGGAUGUUAAACAAUGUCUCUUCAAUAGAUCAAUGUGUUGUUUUGUCCCUUAAACACACUUAUGACGCGGUAAGCUGAAAAAAAAAUUAAUUAUUAGAAUUCAAUAUUUUCUUAAUUUACUUUUUUCAACUUUUCAUGGUAAAAAUUAGACAUUUUUUUUAAUUUUAAAGUAAUUGUAUGACCAUAAAAGAGUUACUCCAAUUUAAUUGUAAAACUGUUUCAAGCAUUGGACAUGCUCAGUGGGACGACAAAUUGAAAUUCUUGUUUCUCGCUCACUAAACUUCAACACAACUUUUUGUCUUAAGUACAAAUUGUUUAAAAUAUCAAAAUAGUCUUUUGUCCAUCAUACAUUGUAUGAGACAAAAAAUUCAAUACCAUAAAAGUUUGUCAUGUAUUGUUUUUUGACUUGUAUUGUGUUGUUAUGUCUUGUGUUUGAUCUGCAUGGUAUAGAACAUAACAAUGCAACACAAAACAUAACAACACACGAUAAAAUUUUAUGGUAUUGGACAAUUUUAUGCCAUAUACAAUAUUUGGCAAGCAAAAGAAUAUUUUAGGAUUUUAGACAACCACACGCUUCUCUCUCUUUUUUUUAAACAAAAAUUGGAAGUGGAAAAGAUCAAUGUGAUUAAUUAACAUCUAAUUGUGACCUAAUAGCCACAAUUAUGGGUUGCAAAACCUAAGUUUCUCCUAUCAAAAUAUUCAAGGCCCAAGCACUACCUGUAACCCAUCACUUAUUUUUAAGCUUGAGUAUGACAUUUUAAAUGUCUAAUAUAACAUGUUAGCUUAUUUAAAAUCAUAUUUGAUAUGGACAUGUUUAAAUAAGUGUUCACACAAAACAAAACAAAACAAAAAGUAGUUGAAUCAUAUAUUUUCCACUAGAUUAAAGUGGAAUAUUUGGCUAUCAUUUGCAUCUUAAUCAACGUUGGAAUCAACUGAUGCAAAAUCAGCUCACAUCUAAUGCUAAAUCGGCUAACAAUUGGAUCAGAUCACAAUUUAUGUUGAAUCGACUAACAACUGUGUUAUCGCGAUUUUCGGGUGUCAAGUCAUUAAUUAUGCUUGAACCUUUCAAUCUUUGAUAUUCUCUAUUUUUUCUUGGGAAGGGCGAAAUUGAGAAAAAACCCUUAGAUUCUAAGUUCGGGGGUCGCUUUCGCUACGGGAAGGUGUUAGGCACCCGGAACGAUUAUGGUAUUCCAUAAGAACCGUUCUCCUAAGUUUAUUUCUACGCUUUAUUUUUAUUGCCUACUUAUUAAAAAAGAAGUUUUAUUUGAGUGAAGAAUGGGGGGGAGAAAGUGUUUGAGGUUUUAUUUUAGUGGACUUGGAGAGGUUUUGACCUCAUGCCUACAUACCCAUUUAAGGGAUCAAACUCCAUGUAGUUCUCUCUCAAAAAAUGUUUUUUUUUUUGUGUGUUUGGUUGAUUUUAGUUUUUGUUGGAAAAUGGUUUUGAAGAAGAGGAAGAGGCCUUAAAGGCAUAAGAGAGAAAAAUGUUGAAUGGUUGGUUCAAUUGUUAUUAAAAAAGUCUAAGUAGGAAUUAGGAGUCAUUUGGAUUUGUUUAAGAAAAUAAAAGAAAAAAUUCAAUGGAGUUUUGACUCCAAGGUUUGUUUGGAAAAAUUUGAGUGAUGGAAUUGGUUUAUUAUUUUCUUGAAAAUUGGCAUUUGUCUAAAAAUCGCGUUUCCUAAGCAUACAUCUAAACGGUAAUCAUGCAACGUGUGUGCGUGUCGGUGCUUGUGUCGGUGUACAUCACUUAUAGUGUCCAUAGUCCUUUACAUUGAGUCCUAAAUACAUGCUAUGGUCUUGCAAGGAAUUUAAAAAAGAACUAAUCUAUCUAAAAUUAUUACAAACUCAAUUGAUAUAGAAAUGAAUAAAAAAAAUGAUGCUAGAACUAUGUGAUGAAUGAAAUGUGAGAUGAAAUGGUUAGUAUCAUAAGGCAUAAAAAUAGUAGAAAGGUAAACAAAAUUGAAUAGAAGAGCAAGAGAAAAAAAAAGGUAAUGAAAUGAAAUAAAGUGGCAAAAUAUACCUAGAAUUAGGUAUAACACUUAGACAUGCAUAUGGCUUAUAAUUCUCUCAUCAUAGCCAUUUUUAAAAGAGAUUUGAUUUUAAGCUACAAUGUGAGGAUCAUAAAAACACACAAACAAAGCAUCAUACCAUAUUCCUAGGGAUAUUUUCUACACAUUAUUUAACAUGCAAAAAAAAUAAAAAUAUCACAAAAUGUCAAAAAAUGCACCAAGAACAUAUAGGAAUUUAAUGAGCAAGAAUUAAAAAGAACAAAUGAAGAAAAUAAAAAAAAUAAGCAAGUAAAUUCUAACAUUUAGAGAAAAAAUUAAAAUGAUAGGGAAACAUUUUUAGAAAAUUUUUAGGAGCAUAAAAUGCCAAGAAAGUGUAAAAAAGUAUUUAAAAACACAACAAAAAAGCAAUUAAAAAGAGGCUCAGCAGGAUUUAAUCUGGUCCGCUGGAUGAAUCCAGAGGUCCAGAUCUAACUCCCAAGAUCACAUCACAGCCACUGUAUCAAAGAUCCAAGGGUCCAAAAAAAAGCACAAAAGAUAGUGUAAAAUGCAGGAAGCACAGUGACCGUUAGAUCAAAGAUCUAACGGUUCAAACAGAAGAUAUAACAUAUUCCACACAAAAAAUCACACACAGGAUUCAAAAUCAAACACACAGCAGCCAUCAGAUCUUGGAACAAUCCAGAUCUGAUGGUUCACAGAGCGAAGGAACACCACAGAAGCAUGCACGCGCGCGCGUGGGAACGGAGGGAGUAUAUAAAGGAAUUUUCACACAAAAAACACAUAAACCUCUUCUCCUUCUCUCUCUAAAACUCAAAAAUCACAAAAAUGCUCUCCCUUCUCUCUAGAAACUCGCCGCCGGCGAGCUAAGUGGUGGUGGUGGUGGCCGGAGUUGCUCCGGCGCGGUGGCCGGCCGUAGCGCCGCCGCGUCGGAGCGUUUUUCUUUUUUUUUUCGAAAUUUUUACAUCAAAAGUUUCGUCACCACCUCCUCUACACAAAUCCGGCGUUAGUUUUAGCGAGAACGGAGCGAUUCGGACUAGAUCUACGUUUUUACUUUGAAUUUUUUUUCACACUUUUCGCAAAAAAAACUACGGAUCUAGAUAUCCUUUUCUCUAUAGAGUCCGAAUCCGGUCUCGGAAUUUCUAAAAUCCGAACGUACAAGCCUAGAUCUACAAAUACAUAUCCGUAACAAACUUUUUCACACUUUUUCUACACUAUAUGCGCGCGCGAAAAUGAAGAAAAAGAGGAGAGAAAUGCGUUACCUCUGUCGUAGAACGGAGAAAAAUCUUCGGAAAACUUCGAAUCUCCCUUUUUCCCCCUCCGUGCGCGCGCGUUUCAACUCCGUUUGUGGUUGUUUUUGCUCAAAAAUCCGGUACGUUUUGGUGUUGAUGUGAUGAUUCGCGGUGGUUUUGAGUGAAUCCGGUUCGGAUUUGUUGAUUUUGUGGUGAUUGGAGUUGAUUCUGAGCAGAUCCGGUUUAGAUCUGUUGAUUUUGGUGAUGAUGUGUUCUUGGUGUUCUUCCUCUUUUUUUUCUGAGAUUUUUCUGUUUUGAUUCUGUUAUGGAUGAGAGAGAGAAAAAGAUUAUGUUUGAGACUGAUUGUGAUUGAUUCUGAUUUUUUUUCUGACUGAUUGUGAUGGAUCUGACACAUUUACUAUUUAUAGCCUGCCAUGUGUAUUGGAGACCCAAUGGAAAAUUGACACCUGGACUGUUUUGGACUUAAGGACUAAUCUACAAAAAGGUUAAUAUGAGGACUAAUCUGCAAUAAAAAAGACUAAAAAAAAUGCAAUUAAAAAAAAAGUAUUGGACAAAAAUGCAAUUUUGGGACCCUUUUGGGGGACCGAAAUGUAAAUAAAAAAUAAAAUGAAUUAAAAUCGGUAAUUGGUAAAAAGGUAAAGUGAAACGAAAAAUAAAAUCAACAAACGGACUAAAACGAACAAAUUACCGACAUGAGGUAUUUUAAAAUACCUCCCUGUCGAAAUUUUGACAGGAAAAGACCAAAAUGCCCCUAGGGACUAAACUGACCCAAACUGACUCAGAUGCAAUUUUUGAAAUAAUUUUUAAACAAAGACUCAACAAUGAUUUGUACAGACAGGUUGAAAAGACUCAGAGGCAAACACAGGGACUAAAAUGGGUUCCACUGCAGGAAAUGACCAAAAUACCCUUUUGUAUGGUUUUUUUGAAAUAAAAUGCAAGAAAAGUAAUGCGACGUUUCAGAGGGUUCUUAAAUGACUUGUAACGUCAGAAAAGACAGAGGCAGUAAAAUAUGUUUUAAGAAAGAGUAAAGAUUCAGAGUAAAAUAACAGAGAACUGACAAAUAUCAGCGUUAAAAAAGAAAUUUGAACGAGUAUUUUUAGGUCCAAAAUCAGGGUAUAACAGCUGCCCCUAUUUAAGUUUCUUUGUCUGGAGGGUCAAGAGACGGAGUCUUUGACUUGACGGGACGAAGAUACUUAAAUAUUAACAUUGCACUGUGUUUGGACGUAAAAAUACGCUUGUACAUUUUCAAAUAUCAUGAAUGCCAUGCAACAUUUGGAUUAUGAGUGCAAGACAAACGAAAACUGGAAUUAACAAAAGAUGCCGUAUCCAUUGCGGGAUUGGUAGACAUUGGUAAGAUAACAGAUAACAGGGUAGAUAGGAGGCUAGGAACAAAUUGACGGGUACAAGCUGCUCUUGGAUUGAGCUGGGCACUUGACCAGGAAUAAAAGCAGACAAACAGGUGCGAGUUGUUCUUGGAUUCGAACUAGUCACUCGACCGGGGACAUGGAGAAGACAGGUACGAGUUGUUCUUGAUUCGAACUGGUCACUCGACUGAAAGCAAGGCAAAUAGACAGGUGCGAGCUUGUUCUUGGAUGCGAACUGGUUACUCCACCGGAGUCAAAGACAAAUAGACAGGCGCAAGCUGCUCUUGGAUCGAGCUAGCCACUUGAGCGAACAGAAACAGAUAGACGGGUACAAGCUGUUCUUGGACUUGAACUAGCCACUUGACCAAAAUCAUAGACACAUAGACAGGUACGAGCCGUUCUUGGAUUCGAACUGGUAACUCGACCGAUAACAUUGAAAAGUAAACGGGUACAAGUCAUUCUUGGAUGCGAACUGGUAACUUGACCAAACAGAAACAUAUUGACAGGUACAAGCUGCUCUUGGAUUGAGCUGGGCACUCGACCGAUAACAUAAGCAAAUUGAUAGGUACAAGCUGUUCUUGGACUUGAACUAGCCACUUGACCGAACAGAAACAAAUUCACAGGGGAUUAGUUUUUUUGACAAAAUAUAGGUUGAAAUUGACUUGACGUCGAUUUGAUUUGAAAGGUAGAAAUUGACCAAUAUUAUUGGCUCACAAGGUUUUGACAGAGAACCCGACAUGAGUAUUGAGUUGAGACUGUUGUUGAUAUUGGAAAUGCAAUAUGCAUGAAUGAUAUAACAGUUUCAUUAAAUGCGUGGGCACGUAAUAUGCAUGAUUAUGCAUGUAUGAAUGCUUGUAAUGCAUGACUGUUGGCGAUUUGUAGACACAGUUUCGCAGAGACAGACAAGACAUUGGAGUAUUGGGCACGUAGUGGCUCGUGCUAUAUUACACAUUCCUGAAAAUCCUCUUUGGAGAUGACGUCGUUGGGAGACGUAUCGGGACCAUGGCUGAGGGCAGGUAGCUAUGCAACUUGCUGGGGAUAGAAUCUCGGGAAACUCUACUGGGAAUAAUGUCGGAUGUAUCGUGGAUGUCGCAUCUGUGGUCAAUGCUUUUUGCAUGUUAUUUUUUCAAUUUUCAUUCAUUCAUUUUUUUUGCAUCCCAUUUUUGCCUGGAUCGCCCUUUCGGGUUUUCGAUCCACCGGGGAAAUAAAUUCUUUUCAAUGCCCCAUUUUUGCCUGAACUGCCCUUUCGGGUUGUCAAUCCAGCGGGGUGCUCAUUUUUGCCUAAGCCACCCUUCCGGGUUUUCAACUUAGCGAGCCUAUUCAUUUUCAUGCAUUUUCAUUCUGUUUUUUCAUUCUUGCCAUUGACCACAGACUAUCCUGGAGGAGAACCUGCUUGUAACAUACGUUGAAAUAGACACCAACAUACACUCGCUCAUGCAUGUUCGUUUGAAUGUACCCUGUUGCUCAGGUUUGCUUUUCAAAAAACUUUUUCCAAUUUUCCAGAUGUUUGUUUCGAGCAUUUGUCAUUAUUAAAAAUAGAAGGAAAAUGUUUUUGUACAUAUCUUUGAAAGUAAAAAGAAAGCAGAGUUUCAAACAAAAGCACAGGCUCAAAUUGAUGUAUAAGAGUGGUGGUCAGCCGAAGGCGUGACUCCACGGAUUUACAAAGCUUGGAAAAUGGUAAUUUUUAUUGGUUGGUGAUACAUUGAACACAGCAAUCAUGACAUUUCCUAGGAACUUUGAAUUCGCAAGCGUAGGGGCUUUUGAUGAAGAUGGCCAUUAACAGCUGCAGAUGCCCCAAGGGAGACGGUGGUUGACCAGAUAUAGUUACUUGCCUUUUGUUUCAAUCUCAUUUUUGCAUGAACCGCCCUUCCGGGUUUUCGGCUCAUCGAGACGCUCAUUCUUGCCUGAGUUGCAUGCAAUCGCAGCGAGCUUUUUAUAUAAUUUUUUUUUGUGUCCCUUAUUUUUGCCUGGACCGCCCUUUCGGGUUUUCGAUCCACCGGGAAGCGCAUUUUUGCCUAGGCCGCCCUUUCGGGUUUUCGACCUACCACGCUGUUCUUUUCACAUUUCUAGGCAAAGUAUUUCUUGACUAUAUCGGCAUUCACUGGAUUUGGAAGUUCUACACCAUCCAUGUGUGUAAGGAUUAAAGCACCACCGGAGAAGGCCUUCUUGACAACAUAAGGACCUUCAUAGUUAGGUGUCCACUUGCCCCUUGGGUCGGGUUGCUGGCUUACCCUCCUUUUCAAUACAAGUUCUCCUACCUUGAAUUCUCGAGGAUGGACUUUCUUGUCAAAGGCAGUCUUCAUUCUUGCUUGAUAUGACUGUCCACGAGCCAUGGCAUCCAUACAUUUUUCCUCAAUCAAAUUCAACUGAUCAUACCGGCUCUGGCACCAUUCAGCCUCAGAUAACUUUGCUUCCAUGAUCACACGGAGAGAUGGGAUCUCCACUUCCAAAGGAAGAACUGCUUCCAUACCAUAUACAAGAGAGAAAGGGGUUGCCCCGGUUGAACUGCGCAUGGUAGUACGGUAGCCAUGCAGAGCAUAGGGUAGCAUCUCAUGCCAGUCCUUGUAAGUGGUUACCAUCUUUUGGACAAUUCUCUUGAUAUUCUUGUUGGCGGCCUCAACGGCACCAUUCAUCUGAGGUCUAUAAGGAGAAGAGUUAUGAUGCUCAAUUUUGAAUUCUUCACAAAGAGCUUGCACCACAUUGUUAUUCAGGUUGGUACCAUUGUCGGUAAUAAUCUUGCUGGGAACACCAUAUCGACAGAUGAUGCUGUUCUUGAUGAACUUAGCUACCACUUGCUUGGUCACAUUGGUAUAAGAUGAUGCUUCAACCCACUUGGUGAAGUAGUCAAUUGCCACUAAGAUGAAACGAUGACCAUUUGAAGCCUUCGGUUCAAUUCUUCCAAUCAUGUCGAUGCCCCACAUUGAAAACGGCCAUGGGGAUGAAAUAAUGUUGAGAGCGUGCGGAGGCACAUGAAUCUUAUCAGCAUAGAUUUGACAUUUGUGGCACUUUCUGGCGUGUUGAUAGCAAUCAUGCUCCAUGGCCAUCCAGUAGUAACCUGCCCGUAACAACUUCCUUGACAUAGUAUGCCCUGUAGCAUGGGUCCCGAAGGUACCAUCAUGUACAUCAUGCAUUAACUGCUCUGCUUCGUGUUCAUCAACACACCUUAAUAAUACCAUGUCAUAGUUUCUUUUGUACAGAAUAUCUCCAUCUAACAUGAAUCUACUGGCCAAUCUUCUCAGGGUCUUCUUGUCUUGAUUGGAAGCACCUGGCGGAUACUCACGGCUCAGCAAGAACUGUUUGAUGUCGUAGUACCAGGGUUUAUAGUCAACCAUAUUUUCACCAGCCUGAUCGAUCACAUCCCCAAUAGCAAACACAUGUGAAGGUCUUUCAAGGCGUUGCACUUUGAUUAUUGGCACAUCAUUCCAAUGGUUUACUUGAAACAUGGAGGAUAGAGUAGCAAGAGCAUCAGCCAUUUGGUUCUCAUCACGAGGAAUAUGGUGCAGCUCAACCUUUGUAAAAUAUGUCAGCAAACGUCUCGCAUAAUCACGAUAAGGAAUCAACUUGGCAUGGUGGGUCUCCCAUUCACCCUUUAUCUGAUUGAUGACGAGCGCAGAAUCUCCAUAGAUGUCGAGGUGUUUGAUUCUCAUGUCAAUUGCUUCCUCGAUCCCAAAGAUACAUGCUUCAUACUCAGCCAUAUUGUUUGUACAUUCGAACAGAAUUCUGGCGGUAAAAGGGAUGUGAUGCCCCUGUGGGGAUACAAUGACUGCCCCAAUUCCCUUACCAUAAGCAUUGACAGCACCAUCAAAGACUAAACCCCACUUGCUAUUGGGAUCUGGACCUUCAUCAAUCAACGGUUCUUCGCAGUCUUUUGAUUUUAAAUACAUGAUCUCUUCAUCGGGGAAAUCGAACUCAAUUGGUUGGUAAUCAUCAAGAGGUUGGUAAGCAAGAUGAUCGGCAAGAAUGCUACCUUUGAUUCCCUUUUGAGUUUUGAACACAACAUCGUAUUCAGACAAAAGCAUCUGCCAGCGUGCAAUCUUCCUAGUAACAGCAGCUUUCUCAAAGAUAUACUUUAUCNNNNNNNNNNNNNNNNNNNNNNNNNNNNNNNNNNNNNNNNNNNNNNNNNNNNNNNNNNNNNNNNNNNNNNNNNNNNNNNNNNNNNNNNNNNNNNNNNNNNGGAUCCUUCCGAUCCAACUUACCAAAUAUCAUUGGAACUGCCUGAUACUAAGGUAGUAUACGUUGGACAGUGCAUUCUUUCUUGCUUGCUACUAUAUGAUGUUGCUUUUUCAUUAAAAAAAUCACUAACUUAUUCUUAUACCUUUUUUAAGGAUCAUGAGCAACAUCCGAAAAUCGUUAAUCAUGGAUUAGGUCAGCAAUCAAAAGGAUCUUCAUCUGCAACAAAGGUAAUAAAACAUUAUAAGUUUCUCGUGUUUCUCUUUACUUUGCUUGUCAUAGGGUACCAAUUACCAAAUUCUCAAUUCUCAUGCAUUCUUUCUUGGUAGCUACUAGGUUUUGUAUUAAACAAAUCACUAACUAGUUACUCAACCAUUUAAUUACCCUUUUUAAGAGCAUGCAAAAAAAAUUCAUGAAAAACUAAAAAUUGUGUUUAUGAAAGUAUUGGUUUUUUGAUAAAUGUUUUAUUGGAAAGACUAAAUAUAUGAUGGCUACUAAGUAAUCACAUAUAUGGUUCGUGCUUGUUUCUUAUGUUUGAAAGUAAAAUUGUUUAUUAGGGUUUUCAAUAUGUUUGAUAAUUGAUUUGAUGAAUUGUUUCAUCUUUCUAGAUUCCAUUUGUGUUUCGCAUACCUGAUUUUUUUUAAGUAGCUGUAAUGUAAUAAUCAUAGUAAUUUUCUAUUAUUAUUAUUAUUACUGUUGUUGUAGUUGUUAUUUAUGAUGUUGUAAUGUACGUUCAUUAAUCGUUCACUUUGUUUGAUAUUAAUAGGUGCCGCGACGCUCUCCCGAACCAUUCCUUCCUUCUCAGGAAUCAAGAGCAGCUAUGGAUAGAAUCAGCGGAUUACCAGAUGAGUUAUUGUGUCACAUACUCUCUUUUCUCCCAACAAAAUUUGCUUUUACUACAACCCUUCUUUCUAAGCGGUGGACCCCACUCUUCUAUUCACUCCCCGUUCUCCGAUUCGACGAUAAUAAAUUCAAAGACUUUCAAACCUAUGAUCGCUUCUAUAGCUUUCUUAAUAACCUCAUGAUCCAUCCUCUUUCAAUCAACCAGGCUCAUCCCCUCAAAACGUUUCGCUUCAAACAAUGUUAUUACAGCCACCGCCUUAAUCUGUUUUCUCGCAGCAAAGAUAUCCACAACAUCAACACAUGGGUAGAAGUCACAAUACGAAUUCCCCGCGAGAAAGAUAUCCACAUUAUCAACACAUUGCUAGAAGUCGCAAUACAACGUCGUGUUGAGAAGUUUGAUCUCAAGCUGUGUUUCCACACCUUGAAGCCCAUCAUUUUCAUCUCCAAAACACUAACUAUUCUCAAACUUUUGAUGUUAAAAGUUGGAAAUGAUACUUCGUGCGUUAAUCUUCCAUCUCUGAAAUCCCUGAAGUUGAAUCGCGUUAGAUUUGAAAAUUGGAACGAUUACAUAAACUUUCUUUCAUCUUGUCCUAACCUAGAAGAUUUGCGUCUUAAGAGUAUCCAUUGUAGGAAACUUGACAAAAACAAUGCAUCAAAAACAGUAUUUCAAAAAUCCUUGGCCCUUUCUAAGUUGGUUAGAUUGUGUAUCGGGUCUACAGAUGAUUUUUUCAAAGUCAUUUCAAAUUUUUCAAACUUAAUUCAUAUUAAACUAUGGUUAAGCCCUCUUCAUUGUUGGGAUGAUGUGGUAAAACUACUCCGACUUUGCCCCAAGCUUCAAAUUCUUUAUAUUAAAACGGUAUGUUUAGUUUUUUUUUUUUUUUUUUGUUGAAGAAGCCAAUAGUUGAGUAGUAUAUUUGUUCGUUUUUUUUUCGAAUAUUUUUUAAAUGUUAUUUUCAUCCCUUUAACAGUUUUCGAGGACCACAUCGACCAAGGAAUGGACAUGCCCAUUAUCGGUUCUUGAAUGUGUUUCGUAUCAUCUCAAAUCAUGUACUAUUUCAACUUCAAGCUUAACAGAUUGGGCAAAUGAUAUUCGUUAUGUGCAAUAUAUUUUGCGGAAUGCAAGACUUUUACAAGAUAUGACUAUCAACUUUAAUGGGGUCUCUUAUGAAGGAAUGGUUUUGGAAAAAUGUCAGAUUAUAGAAGAAUUAUCUUCUUGUCCAAUGAUAUCACCAGGAUGUAAACUUUCAUUUGAUUUUUUCCGUCGUUCUUUGUAUCGGUAGCGUUUCUCAUUAGUUUCUAUUUAUAAUAUCCCUACGAUCACUUAUAAAUCUUUGUUCAUGUCUUAUCUUCUAUUCUAAUGUGGGGCUUCUAAGACGACUUUUAUUAGAAGGUUGUUAUCGACAACGAUAUAUUUGAGUCAUAGAUAUUAAGAUUAAUAGUGUUUUACCCUCUGUAAUAUAGGUCAUUUAUAUUUGUUAACAGAACCGUUUCAAUAUAUAUUGAUGAUAUGACUUUGUUCGCAGAUUUAUCCUUUUUAUUUUUAUCAACUUUAAAUAUAUAUUGUAUCGAUAUAUUUUAUCAAUUUGAUAAGGAAAAAAAAGACAGUGGUGAUAUAACCAAAGUUAAGAGAGAAGAAAUCAAUCUUAACUUGUAAUCCAAAAAAAAAAACAAUCUUAACUAUAAUAGUAUUAUUUAUUGCUAGAAAUCAAUCUAACUAUAAUAGUAUUAUUUAUUGCUCAUUUGAUUACAAACAUCUUAACUAAAUAAAUAAAAAAUACAUGCACUGGAGACCAACAUCUUAGUGAAAGAGUUCAUUCUUACAUGUAUGGCUUUUUGGGUAUCUCUCUUAGGAAAAUUUCACAUAGCUCGUUAACACACUUAUAAUAGCUAUAUGUAAAUACAUUUGGACAAUCUUCAUCGACUUUACAUUUAAUCCAUCCUGCAAAGGCACCAUCAACCUCUUUUGUAACAAGAAACAUGGAAAGAAAUGAAAUUAUAACGUAAAUAAACUUGAGAUCGUUAGCCAUAUUUGUUUUCUUUGUUUUUGUAACAAAUAGGAUAUGACUUGUUCAAUUUAUAGUGUAAAAGGAUAAUGCAAUGCUAAAAACUUUUAAAUAUAUUUAACAUUUAAGUAAAUUAAAGUGUUGUAUUUGCUCCUUUUGGAUGUUAAACAAUGUCUCUUCAAUAGAUCAAUGUGUUGUUUUGUCC
rnacentral:lncRNA from 1 species